AUUGAACGCUGGCGGAAUGCUUUACACAUGCAAGUCGAACGGCAGCACGGACUUCGGUCUGGUGGCGAGUGGCGAACGGGUGAGUAAUGUAUCGGAACGUGCCCAGUCGUGGGGGAUAACGUAGUGAAAAUUACGCUAAUACCGCAUACGAUCUAUGGAUGAAAGCGGGGGAUCGCAAGACCUCGCGCGAUUGGAGCGGCCGAUAGCAGAUUAGGUAGUUGGUGGGGUAAAGGCCCACCAAGCCAACGAUCUGUAGCUGGUCUGAGAGGACGACCAGCCACACUGGAACUGAGACACGGUCCAGACUCCUACGGGAGGCAGCAGUGGGGAAUUUUGGACAAUGGGCGAAAGCCUGAUCCAGCCAUUCCGCGUGCAGGAUGAAGGCCCUCGGGUUGUAAACUGCUUUUGUACAGAACGAAGAGGUUUCUACUAAUACUAGGAGCUCAUGACGGUACUGUAAGAAUAAGCACCGGCUGACUACGUGCCAGCAGCCGCCGUAA
rnacentral:rRNA from 1 species